CCUACGGGGGGCAGCAGUGAGGAAUAUUGGUCAAUGGACGAGAGUCUGAACCAGCCAAGUAGCGUGAAGGAUGACUGCCCGAUGGGUUGUAAACUUCUUUUAUAAAGGAAUAAAACGAGGCACGUGUGCCUUUUUGCAUGUACCUUAUGAAUAAGGAUCGGCUAACUCCGUGCCAGCAGCCGCGGUAAUACGGAGGGUCCGAGCGUUAUCCGGAUUUAUUGGGUUUAAAGGGAGCGUAGAUGGGUUGUUAAGUCAGUUGUGAAAGUUUGCGGCUCAACCGUAAAAUUGCAGUUGAUACUGGCAGUCGUGAGUACAGUUGAGGUAAGCGGAAUUCGUGGUGUAGCGGUGAAAUGCUUAGAUAUCACGAAGAACCCCGAUUGCGAAGGCAGCUUACUAAACUGUGACUGACAUUGAUGCUCGAAAGUGUGGGUAUCAAACAGGAUUAGAUACCCCAGUAGUC
rnacentral:rRNA from 1 species